AUUUAGCAGAGUUGUUUUGCGUCCUGGCUGAACCUUCUAGUGUGAGACUACAAACUCCAUUUGGAUCAUAUAUGUACCAGAGCAGGGACGCCGGGGACAUAACUUAACAAAUGUGUGGAGUCAAUUGGUUUCCCAAAGGGACGCUACUGAGAAGCUGGCUCACCAAGUCCCGACCAAGACUUCUUUUACUGAUAGCAGGCUUGAAAAGACCACAAGUGACACUGAUGAGAAGAAAAAGGAUGAAGCGCACAAAAGUAGCAAAGGCCACGUAAGCGAACAUCUCUGCGAAUGCCGCAUUUCACUUGAAUCUUUAAAGUCCAAAGGCAACAGGAACUGGGUGACAAAUGAAGAAUAAAAUCCACCAGAGAGACUUUUUAGUCAUUUC